AGGGCUGCACAGGGUUCGGCGAGAUUUCGUUUCUGGAGAUAAACAAACAUGUCGAGUGUCACACGAUACUUAGUGCGAUGACGUUUUCGAUCUUAUACUGGGGAUAUUACAUAUUGGGAACAAAAUUUUUAGUAUCAAAUCUUGAAUAACUGCUCAUUAACAUCUGUUGUUAAGAUUACUUACGUAAAAGAGAUGUACUAUGUCUGUGGUAAAACACGAAGCUCAAGGUUCCAUGCGAGACUGAAGCUACAGAGUCAGCUGUUACGGUAUGUUAAAUUUUAGUCCUUUGAGAGAUAUAAUAUAGAUUUUAAUUAACAAGAAACUAAUUUUUUAUUUCCAAUAAUUCUAAAAGCUAUGUGAUGAAGUUUUAAAGGUAAGAAAAACCAUACAUCACCCCCACCCCCCAGCCAAAUUUCAACAUGAAUUAAAAUUAUCCGCGGCUAGCAGGUUACAGUUAUUGUCAAACCCUGAGUAUGCAUAUCAGUAUUCAGUUACUCCUAAAGAAAACUACUAUAAAGGUGACUGACUCGAACUAACUUAAUUUAUAUGCUUAGAUCAUAAUUGGUAACAUCAAUAAUCAUGGAAAACAGCACAAUCCAUAAAAUUUUGUGAAUGGGCAUAAGAAAGAACAAAUCACUGCACAGCUGGCAUUAUUCUCUAUGUUUUUGUAUUUACACAAAUAAUAGAUAAGUGAUAGCAAAUAUCAGUAAAAUAUAAUUGAAGAAAGCUAACAAAUAAUUAAAGGGGAAAAUGUAUAUAUAUUUAUUAUGUAUUUGUAUUAUAAAACUGUCUUGAUCCCAGUACAUUUGUUUGAUCUUUGUUUAUAAAAUGAAGACAAACUAGUGAUUUAUUAUAGUGAGAGUGUGCAAAUAUUAUAUUCAUAUUAAGCAAUAAAAUCAUUAUCAUAAUUGAAAACCUCAUAAUUAUAUAACUUUUUUAAAUUCUACUUUUCAAAAUGUAUUCAUUUCAAUUAUUAGAUGUAUAGGAAUGUCUUGAAAACAGAUGUCAAACAAUCAUCGAUGUAAGAUCUUAAGUCUGUACCACCUCGGGCUCAACAAACCAAAAAGGAUGGGCUCUAUUCCUUGCACUGUGCAGAUAACCGAAUUGUCAACAACAGGUAAUCACAUUUUGAUGAGUUACUGCUAAGCUUUACAUCAAUGCAUUGGAAACUGGUUCCUGACCAUCUGUACCCAUCGACUUGGUGGGUCUACUGUGAAGGACCUGAUUUCAAGCCAUGACUCUCCAUCUACUUCAUAACCACAAGACAGGCACUAGUUAUUGAUAGACUUGUAAUCUCAUGUCAUUGCCAAGAAUAUAUUGUACAAUUUGUGUGUCAUAAAUGAUCAAAUACUACCACUCUAGAGGAAAAAUCAAUUAAAUGUAGGCUUGACUUAUGUACAUAAGUAUCUACAUUAAAUUGUAUGAAAAGAAAA